CGGCGGACGGGUGAGUAACACGUGGAUAACCUACCUAUAAGACUGGGAUAACUUCGGGAAGCCGGAGCUAAUACCGGAUAAUAUAUUGAACCGCAUGGUUCAAUAGUGAAAGACGGUUUUGCUGUCACUUAUAGAUGGAUCCGCGCCGCAUUAGCUAGUUGGUAAAGUAACGGCUUACCAAGGCAACGAUGCGUAGCCGACCUGAGAGGGUGAUCGGCCACACUGGAACUGAGACACGGUCCAG
rnacentral:rRNA from 1 species